rfam:Nicotiana attenuata strain TT scaffold02062, whole genome shotgun sequence.
UGGACAAAUUAUUGUAUUCGACCGUAUUCACGACGUGAAAUAGAGGAUUACACUGUUUUUAAACGAAAAGUGAAUCAAUUAACGUAAUAGACUCCU